GCCUGUUUAGCGUAGUGGUUAUCGCGUUCCACUUGUAUGUCUUCGUUCAUCUCUAUGCUCGAGCGUACCAUGGAAAGGUCCUUCGUUCAAAUCGGGGAAUGGGCA
rfam:Stereum hirsutum FP-91666 SS1 unplaced genomic scaffold STEHIscaffold_4, whole genome shotgun sequence.